UCUUCACUAGUAUAUCGGUUAGUAUAUCCGCCUGUCAGUAUUGGGAUUUGAACCCUACAGAUAACGCGGGUGAGCUGGGUUCGACUCCCAGGUGGAGAG